UUUUGAUGCCAUGUUCUUGCAAGCAUUGCCCAAUACAAAGGCAUGAAGACUUACAUCUAUGUUUCUCUCUGAGAGUUCUAUAAUUGCAGCUUCUACACUUGUAAUACUUGGUAUGAGCAGUCUUUUGGAGUCCUGUCAUUCACGUUUUUCUCAGCCACGAGCCUUCGAAAGAUAAUGAAGCAUAAAGAACAGGCCGAUGCUGCACAGUUUUUCUGGGGAGGCACAGACUAUCUCUUCACUCUAGAUAGGAGACUGAGGAUACAUCAAAGGAUGAUGCUACCCAAACCUAACUUGAUAAACCAAUAGACCACAUCACGGAAAAUAUCAAGAUUAUACCUGAAAGAUGGAUGUUUUGCCUGCAUUUACGUCCAUCAGCUGCCUGUACACAAUACCGUAGGAAGCCAGAGAAGGUGUUGGAUCUCUGAAACUGGAGCUGCAGAUGGGGAUCCACCAUAAAGGCGGCAGAAGUAAGGCACAGUAUUAAACGCCGAUUUUGUUUGCUCGUCCUUAAGAUGUGGGAAACACACACUGCUUGGAACAGAAGCAGCCGCAGACUGGCUUCCCUGAGGACAUGGAACACACUUUAAGAUCUAACCGAGCCGUGACUAUGCCAAUGCUUCUUUGCCGCUGUGUCUUUCCCCUCUAUCACAUAUUUUAAAGCACUAUACUAGUAGCUUGCUCAAUCAGUUUUAGUAGGUAUUCAAGAAAGAGGAAAAAGGAAAUGGGAUGGAAAUCAAGCCCGUCAGGGAGCUCAAAGACCAUACAACAAGAGAGGGCGAGCUAGACAAAACCACCUGAGAAAGAAAUCUCAGGAUACGGUGCAUGAAAACCAAUUCAAGAUCAAUUGUGUCGGCAGAUCAAAGCUCGGACCCAGCAUAGUGAAGAGUGCUAGCUAUUACCACGGUAGAGCACUGCACACAGGAGGGGGAAGCACACCUUUGCUUCUUGUGGUGCUAUGGCCAGCUUCCAAGCAAAGAUGAAUCAAACUGAUCAGAGCAGAUGCAUUCCAGAUAAGGCUGAGGAAGUGUUUAAACUGGUGUUUUAAAAGGCAUUCGAGAGAGCACAGCUACCAGAGAUUGUAGAGACCGACUCGGCAUGCCUCCUGAAAGAGCCGGACUCCGCGCGCCUCCUGGAAGAGCCCUACUCUGCGCGCCUCCUGGAAGAGCCCGACUCCACGCGCCUCCUGGAAGAGCCCUUUCCCCUCCACAGGUUCUACACCUCACUGGCAGUCAUUUCCUAGGAAGACUGAUCUGACUGUGCUACAGUGAGUGUGACCCUGGCUGCUUACCUGGCAGG